rnacentral:rRNA from 1 species
UUUUGUUUGGAGAGUUUGAUCCUGGCUCAGGACGAACGCUGGCGGCGUGCUUAACACAUGCAAGUCGAACGGAAAGGCCCUUUCGGGGGUGCUCGAGUGGCGAACGGGUGAGUAACACGUGGGUGAUCUGCCCUGCACUCUGGGAUAAGCCUGGGAAACUGGGUCUAAUACCGGAUAGGACUACAUGCUGCAUGGUGUGUGGUGGAAAGCGUUAUGUAGCGGUGUGGGAUGGGCCCGCGGCCUAUCAGCUUGUUGGUGGGGUGAUGGCCUACCAAGGCGACGACGGGUAGCCGGCCUGAGAGGGUGUCCGGCCACACUGGGACUGAGAUACGGCCCAGACUCCUACGGGAGGCAGCAGUGGGGAAUAUUGCACAAUGGGCGCAAGCCUGAUGCAGCGACGCCGCGUGGGGGAUGACGGCCUUCGGGUUGUAAACCUCUUUCAACAGGGACGAAGCGGAAGUGACGGUACCUGUAGAAGAAGCACCGGCCAACUACGUGCCAGCAGCCGCGGUAAUACGUAGGGUGCGAGCGUUGUCCGGAAUUACUGGGCGUAAAGAGCUCGUAGGUGGUUUGUCGCGUUGUUCGUGAAAACUCACAGCUUAACUGUGGGCGUGCGGGCGAUACGGGCAGACUGGAGUACUGUAGGGGAGACUGGAAUUCCUGGUGUAGCGGUGGAAUGCGCAGAUAUCAGGAGGAACACCGGUGGCGAAGGCGGGUCUCUGGGCAGUAACUGACGCUGAGGAGCGAAAGCGUGGGGAGCGAACAGGAUUAGAUACCCUGGUAGUCCACGCCGUAAACGGUGGGUACUAGGUGUGGGUUUCCUUCCUUAGGGAUCCGUGCCGUAGCUAACGCAUUAAGUACCCCGCCUGGGGAGUACGGCCGCAAGGCUAAAACUCAAAGGAAUUGACGGGGGCCCGCACAAGCGGCGGAGCAUGUGGAUUAAUUCGAUGCAACGCGAAGAACCUUACCUGGGUUUGACAUGCACAGGACGCCAGUAGAGAUAUUGGUUCCCUUGUGGCCUGUGUGCAGGUGGUGCAUGGCUGUCGUCAGCUCGUGUCGUGAGAUGUUGGGUUAAGUCCCGCAACGAGCGCAACCCUUGUCUCAUGUUGCCAGCGCGUGAUGGCGGGGACUCAUGGGAGACUGCCGGGGUCAACUCGGAGGAAGGUGGGGAUGACGUCAAGUCAUCAUGCCCCUUAUGUCCAGGGCUUCACACAUGCUACAAUGGCCGGUACAAAGGGCUGCGAUGCCGUGAGGUUAAGCGAAUCCUUUAAAGCCGGUCUCAGUUCGGAUCGGGGUCUGCAACUCGACCCCGUGAAGUCGGAGUCGCUAGUAAUCGCAGAUCAGCAACGCUGCGGUGAAUACGUUCCCGGGCCUUGUACACACCGCCCGUCACGUCAUGAAAGUCGGUAACACCCGAAGCCAGUGGCCUAACCCUUGUGGAGGGAGCUGUCGAAGGUGGGAUCGGCGAUUGGGACGAAGUCGUAACAAGGUAGCCGUACCGGAAGGUGCGGCUGGAUCACCUCCUUUCUAAGGAGCACCA